rnacentral:rRNA from 1 species
UACAGAGGGGGCAAGCGUUGUUCGGAAUUACUGGGCGUAAAGGGCGCGUAGGCGGCCCGCUAAGUCGAACGUGAAAUCCCCGGGCUCAACCUGGGAACUGCGUCCGAUACUGGUGGGCUUGAAUCCGGGAGAGGGAUGCGGAAUUCCAGGUGUAGCGGUGAAAUGCGUAAAUAUCUGGAGGAACACCGGUGGCGAAGGCGGCAUCCUGGACCGGUAUUGACGCUGAGGCGCGAAAGCCAGGGGAGCAAACGGG